GGGGAAUGGCUAAUGACUGGCGUGGAAAAGGGAGGAGACUGUUACUUGUUCUCGCACCUGUAGCUAAUAGCACCCCCACGCCAGGCUUAGGACUGAGGGCCAACCCAGGCGGAAGGAUUGGGUCUGCUGCUGGACGCUGCCUGAGUAAUGAAGCUUUGCUGUAAAAGGAUAACUUUUUGAGUCUCAGAGAGUGGAGAAGAAUCAAAAUUUUGGAAGAGUUUACCUCUACAGGAGGCCUGGAAACCCGUGCUCUGACACCUCAUGUGUGAGGGUUUAUCCCACAACAAGCAGUUCUCCCACAGUCUUUGCCCGACCCUGCAUAGCUUCCAAGAUCAGAGGAGAGAGCAAGCGAGAGAAACAUUGAUGUGGGAAACAUCAAUUGACGGCCUCCUCUGUGCACCGCAAAUGGGGAUAGAAUCUGCAGUGUGGGGAUAGAAUCUGCAGUGUAGGUAUAUGCCCCGAUCAGGAAUUGAACAUGCAACCUUUUGAUGCAUAAGACAAUGCUCCAACCAACUGAACCACCUGGCCAGGGCUGGAAGUUGUAUCUUUUCACUGCUUUUUAAAAAUAUAUAUUUUAUUGAUUAUGCCAUUACAGUAGUUCCAUUUUCACCCCUUCAUUCCCUUCCACCCUGCACACCCCCUACCACCCACAUUCCCUCCCUUUAGUUCAUGUCCAUGUGUCACAAGUUCUUUAGCUUCUACAUUUCCCAUACUAUUCUUACCCUCCCCCCUAUUUCCUACCUACUGUCUAUGCUACUUAUUCUCUGUACCUUCUCCCCUCUUCUCCUCCUCCCACUCCCCUGUUGCUAACCCUCCAGGUGAUCUCCAUUUCUGUGGCUCUGCUCCUGAUCUAGCUGUCUGCUUAGUUUGCUUUUGUAAAGAUGUGGUUGUUAAUAACUGUGAGUUUGCUGUCCUUUCACUGUUCAUACUUUUUACCUUCUUUUUCUAAAUCUCUUUAAUAUUUCCUAUAACAAGGGCUUGGUGAUGAUGAACUCCUUGAAUUUGACCUUAUCUGAGAAGCACUUUAUCUGCCCUUCCAUUCUAAAUGAAAGCUUUGCUGGAUAGAGCAAUCUUGGAUGUAGGUCUUUGGAUUUCAUGACUUGGAAUAGUUCUUUCCAGUCCCUUCUUGCCUGUAAGGUCUCUUUUAAGAAAUCAGCUGACAGUCUGAUGGGAACUCCUUUGUAGGUGACUGUCCCCUUAUCUCUUGCUGCUUCUAGAAUUCUCUCCAUUUUAAUCUUGGCUAAUGUAAUGAUGAUGUGUCUUGGUGUGUUCCUCCUUGGGUCCAACUUCUUUGGGACUCUCUGAGCUUGCUGGAAAUCUAUUUCCUUUGCCAGAUUGGGGAAGUUCUCCUUUAUUAUUUGUUCAAAUAAAUUUUACACUUGUUGCUCUUCCUCUUCCCCUCUGGUACCCAUAUAAUUCAGAUGUUGGAACAUUUAAAGAUGACUUGGAAUUUCCUAAGCCUCUCCUCAUUUUUUAAAAUUGUUUCUUCAUUCUUUUCUGUUUGGUUGUUUCUUUCUUCCUUCUGGUCCACUCCCUUGAUUUGAGUUCCAGUUUCCUUUCCAUCACUAUUGGUUUCCUGUGCAUUUCCCUUUAUUUCAAUUAGUUUGGCUUUCAUUUGUUCCUCUAAUUUGUGACUAAAAUCAACCAGUUCUGUGAGCAUCCUGAUCACCAGUGUUUUGAACUGUGCAUCUGAAAGUUUGGCUUUCUCUUUGUUGCUUAGAAGUAUUGGCUCUGAGGCUUUGAGUUGUUCUUCUGCUUGAGCCAUAAUGUUUUGGUCUGUUCAUAUCCGUUACA